ACUUGUUAUUAGUGGUAGUAGUUAGGUCUACCUGAAUAGUUAAUCCAGACCGCCCUCUGUAGGUGAUUUUGAGGGCCUGCACUAGCCCUGUUCUGACAUGUGGCCUCCAACAAAGAGAUAUCUGAAAUGGAAUGCUGUUCCAUGUAACCAUUAAAACCUCCACCAUAGCCUCGCUGCUGGAGGGCUGUGGUCGACAGUUGGAAACAGAAGACUGGGUCAGCUGUGUCAGAUGAUCGACAGACUCAGCAGCUCUCUGUCUCUGAGGCCAAUCUACUAAGAUCGCUGACUUCUUUCCUCAGUUCCAGUGAAAUAGUGUAUGGUUGUCUGUCCUGGACUGGAAGGAAAGCAACAUCAGGGAAGAGAAUUGGGGUGGUCAAAAGCAAACAGCAUAUUUAUGCUCCGAUUACUGAGCUAGUGGUGAGACAUUUAUGGUUUUCUCUAUGUGUUCACUCAUAAAUUCAGGGAACUAGAAAAGAAAAUGUGGACAUUUACUCGUCAACAACUCUAUUUUUGACAAUACAUCUUCUUCUCUGACAGAUUGGUUUUUAUGCUCAACAUCUUUCCAUUUGCAUGGGAACUGACUUUUAUGGCUAUUCUCAAGUACUUUAUUCUGUCAUUCAGACUUUUAGAUGAUUCAGCUCAUAAAAUACAAGGAUAAAAAAACAGGAAAUAAAACUAAA
rnacentral:lncRNA from 8 species